UACGAAGGGGACUAGCGUUGUUCGGAAUCAGCUAGGGCGUAAAGCGCACGGUAGGCGGAUUCGUAAGUCAGGGGUGAAACUCCCGGGGCUCAACCUCGGAACUGCCUUUGAAUACUGGCGGGUCUUGAGUCCGAUAGAGGUGGGGUGGAAUUCCUAGUGUAGAGGUGAAAUGACGUAGAUAUCUGGAAGAACACCAAUGGCGAAGGACAACCCAUCCUGGGAAGGCAUCGUGACGCUCAGGUGCGAAAAGCUAGGGGAGCGGAACGGG
rnacentral:rRNA from 1 species